rnacentral:lncRNA from 1 species
UCCUGACCAUUGCUGGUAGGUCUGCUAGUAGAUAUCAAUCCUACCAGAAAGCUCGUCACUCUCUGUAUCUCUCUGUAAUUUAAGAAUAAUUAAUUAAAUUUUUUUUAAAUAGUUAGAGAGUUAAAAUAUACUAAUUAAAAAUUACUUACUAUCUGCUCUAUAUGACGAGCGAACGAUCUCGAAUCCCCACAAUACGAUACGAUCUGUCUUAUCCAAUUCACGGCGUUUUGGGCACAUCGUCUCUAUACAGUUAGCAGUCAAAUUAGUAG